ACACUCCUGCGGGAGGCAGCAGUGGGGAAUAUUGGACAAUGGGCGCAAGCCUGAUCCAGCCAUGCCGCGUGAGUGAUGAAGGCCCUAGGGUUGUAAAGCUCUUUCACCGGUGAAGAUAAUGACGGUAACCGGAGAAGAAGCCCCGGCUAACUUCGUGCCAGCAGCCGCGGUAAUACGAAGGGGGCUAGCGUUGUUCGGAUUUACUGGGCGUAAAGCGCACGUAGGCGGACUAUUAAGUCAGGGGUGAAAUCCCGGGGCUCAACCCCGGAACUGCCUUUGAUACUGGUAGUCUUGAGUGCGAGAGAGGUGAGUGGAAUUCCGAGUGUAGAGGUGAAAUUCGUAGAUAUUCGGAGGAACACCAGUGGCGAAGGCGGCUCACUGGCUCGAUACUGACGCUGAGGUGCGAAAGCGUGGGGAGCAAACAGGAUUAGAUACCCUAGUAGUCCCAUG
rnacentral:rRNA from 1 species